UAAAGAAACACAAAGCUCUCAGUCCCAGCUGUUUUCAUCUUUGUCAUGUGUGACUUUGUUCUGAGCACUCUGAACGGCUCAGAAAUCCACAAAAAAGAGGGUUAAAUUUGUAGCCUGAGCACAACACUGAGUUUCCUUUGCAGGUCAAAUAUAACACAGAGCUGAAAAAACUGCAAAGCUCCACUUGAUGUUUAAUUGCUGCUUGAAAGAGGAAAGGCCAAAAGUUAUGGAAAAAGAAAAGUCUCUCUCAAUUCCCAUGCUGCCGCUCUGGUCAGCGUUUUGAACUCUGCUGUGCUACAGCCAACUCGCCCCUCCCCCUUGCAAGCCCCAGGAAUUUUAAAUCUCAUUUCCUGCUUGCUGGCUUUCCAGAGGAGCUUCCCAAGUGAGCAUGGCUGGCUGUUGCACCAAACGCGCUCCCACUUGGACCACCGCUGAGUUGUUGGAUCUGAUCAGUAUAUGGGGCGAAGAGUCUGUUCAGUCGCAGCUGCGAGUGACCUGCCGGAAUCAGGAUACAUAUGGGCAAAUUUCUCGAGGCUCGUGCGAAAAGGGCUAUGAUCGGGACACGCAGCAGUGCAGAGCAAAGAUAAAGGAGCUGAGGCAGGCGUACCAUAAGGCAUGAGGGGAGGCGAACCAUUGCUCUGGUGGUGCACCUAAGACCUGCCACUUCUAUAAGGAGAUGAAUACUAUCCUCGGUGGUCAUCCCAACUCCAUCACCGAUAGCCCCGUGGAUUCUUCAUAGGCAACAGAAAGAGGGGGUUACCCACAGGCUGAAAUUCUGGAUGAAGAAGUGGAGCUAGAAGAGGAAGUGGAUUUCCCAGCAGGGUCGCCUGGGGCAGGCAGCCAGGAACUUUUCUCCACUCCAGAAGUGCUCAAUGUGGAGCAGGAAGCAGAUGAGAUACCAGCACAGACCUUGAAGGACACAUCAUGCACCCCUGCGGGCCAGCUUUGGCAGAUAAGAAAAAACCCUAGGCUCAGCAAAGAAGACAUGUUUCGCGAGGGGCUGCAGCACGAUGAGAGUCAGACCAGGGAACGGGAACGGAAAGAGUGCUGGAAAGCUGAAAGGCAGGACAGAAAAGAGAGUGCUGCUUUUGCUAGGCAAGCGACAGAGCGGAUGAUAAGAGUUAUGGAGGAUCAGACAGAGAUGCUCAAGUCUUUGAUACAGCUGCAGACUGAGCAGAUCCGGGCUCGACUGCCACUGCAGAACAUGCACGAUUCUUUGCCAAUCUCACCCCCUUCUAUGCCCACACAUUCCUUUUCACUUCACAGCACUCCUGAGUUUCCCCAUCACUCCACCCCCUCUCACAAGUUGCACAGUGAUAGCUGGAGCUACACACAGUUGUGAGGUUUUACCCUUUUUAACAAUAAAUAAAGGCUAAGAUA